GGAAUAUUGGACAAUGGGCGAAAGCCUGAUCCAGCAAUGCCGCGUGAGUGAUGAAGGCCUUAGGGUUGUAAAGCUCUUUUACCAGGGAUGAUAAUGACAGUACCUGGAGAAUAAGCUCCGGCUAACUCCGUGCCAGCAGCCGCGGUAAUACGAAGGGGGCUAGCGUUGCUCGGAAUCACUGGGCGUAAAGCGCACGUAGGCGGACUCUUAAGUCGGGGGUGAAAUCCUGGAGCUCAACUCCAGAACUGCCUUCGAUACUGAGAGUCUUCGAGUUCGGGAGAGGUGAGUGGAACUGCGAGUUUAGAGGUGAAAUUCGUAGAUAUUCGCAAGAACACCAGUGGCGAAGGCGGCUCACUGGCCCGAUACUGACGCUGAGGUGCGAAAGCGUGGGGAGCAAAC
rnacentral:rRNA from 1 species